rnacentral:rRNA from 1 species
UACGUAGGGUGCGAGCGUUGUCCGGAAUUACUGGGCGUAAAGAGCUUGUAGGUGGUUUGUCGCGUUGUUCGUGAAAUCUCACGGCUCAACUGUGAGCGUGCGGGCGAUACGGGCAGACUAGAGUACUGCAGGGGGAGACUGGAAUUCCUGGUGUAGCGGUGGAAUGCGCAGAUAUCAAGAGGAACACCAGUGGCGAAGGCGAGUCCCUGGACAACACCUGACACUGAGGCACGAAAGCUAGGGGAGCAAACAGG